rnacentral:ribozyme from 13 species
GAAUUGAACGAAAGCAUUAAAGAAGCCAAAAAACAAAAAAAUAAAAAAGUGGAAGAAGAGUUUGAGUGUGUUGUUCCUCUCCCCAUCUUGCAAUCUUCUCAUCUCCUUGUC